UUCGACUUCCCCUGGGGGUA
rnacentral:snRNA from 1 species